rnacentral:rRNA from 1 species
CAGGCGUGAAAUCCCCGGGCUUACCCUGGGAAUGGCGCCUGUGACUGUAUAGCUAGAGUGUGUCAGAGGGGGGUAGAAUUCCACGUGUAGCAGUGAAAUGCGUAGAUAUGUGGAGGAAUACCAAUGGCGAAGGCAGCCCCCUGGGAUAACACUGACGCUCAUGCACGAAAGCGUGGGGAGCAGACAGGAUUAGAUACCCUGGUAGUCCACGCCCUAAACGAUGCUGACUAGUUGUUCGGGAUUUACAUCCUGAGUAACGUAGCUAACGCGUGAAGUCAGCCGCCUGGGGAGUACGGUCGCAAGAUUAAAACUCAAAGGAAUUGACGGGGACCCGCACAAGCGGUGGAUGAUGUGGAUUAAUUCGAUGCAACGCGAAAAACCUUACCUACCCUUGACAUGUCACUAACGAAGUAGAGAUACAUUAGGUGCUCGUAAGAGAAAGUGAACACAGGUGCUGCAUGGCUGUCGUCAGCUCGUGUCGUGAGAUGUUGGGUUAAGUCCCGCAACGAGCGCAACCCUUGUCUUUAGUUGCUACGCAAGAGCACUCUAAAGAGACUGCCGGUGACAAACCGGAGGAAGGUGGGGAUGACGUCAAGUCCUCAUGGCCCUUAUGGGUAGGGCUUCACACGUCAUACAAUGGUGCAUACAGAGGGUUGCCAACCCGCGAGGGGGAGCUAAUCUCAGAAAAUGCAUCGUAGUCCGGAUCGUAGUCUGCAACUCGACUACGUGAAGCUGGAAUCGCUAGUAAUCGCGGAUCAGAAUGUCGCGGUGAAUACGUUCCCGGGUCUUGUACACACCGCCCGUCAUACCAUGGGAGUGGGUUUUGCCAGAAGCCGUUAGCCUAACCGCAAGGGGGGCGACUGCCACGGCAGGGUUCAUGACUGGGGUAAAGUCGUAACAAGGUA